rnacentral:lncRNA from 1 species
CGCGUCAAUAGCACGUGCAGAGCACGAUCGGAAAGUGGCUACACUCGAGUCUCUUCGCGCCGGAAAGUCGCCGCGAGAAAUAAUCGAGUGGUUCGGUUACAAGAUGAUGUACGUUUAUGACCUAGCGAAGGUUCAGGGAGUCUGAGACAGAGGAAGUCAAUCAUGACUGGGUCAAACAUCGAAAGCAGUCUGACUGUAAAGGCGGUUUCACAUAGCCAGCGAUUUGCGAGAAGAAACAUGCGAUUAUCGUCGUUAUUUUGUCGCACGCGCUAUCACGAUGUUAUCGCGCGUGUUAGCGAUAUUCGCAGAAUGGCUAUAAUUUGGCGAGAAACGACAUUCUCGCAUAUAUCCAAUCCGACUAGAUAUUUUCGCUGAAAAUUAGCGAUUUUAGAAAGAGUAGUAACGCCAUUUUUGAUUUCGUCGCAUUUCUCCACGCGGGAUGAACCCACCAUCUUCUCU